UGGGGAAUAUUGCACAAUGGGCGCAAGCCUGAUGCAGCCAUGCCGCGUGUGUGAAGAAGGCCUUCGGGUUGUAAAGCACUUUCAGCGAGGAGGAAGGUGGUGAGCUUAAUACGCUCAUCAAUUGACGUUACUCGCAGAAGAAGCACCGGCUAACUCCGUGCCAGCAGCCGCGGUAAUACGGAGGGUGCAAGCGUUAAUCGGAAUUACUGGGCGUAAAGCGCACGCAGGCGGUUUGUUAAGUCAGAUGUGAAAUCCCCGGGCUCAACCUGGGAACUGCAUUUGAAACUGGCAAGCUAGAGUCUCGUAGAGGGGGGUAGAAUUCCAGGUGUAGCGGUGAAAUGCGUAGAGAUCUGGAGGAAUACCGGUGGCGAAGGCGGCCCCCUGGACGAAGACUGACGCUCAGGUGCGAAAGCGUGGGGCAGCAAACAGGAUUAGAUACCCUGGUAGUCCACGCUGUAAAACGAUGUCGAUUUUGGAGGUUGUGCCCUUGAGGCGUGGCUUCCGGAGCUAACGCGUUAAAUCGACCGCC
rnacentral:rRNA from 1 species